UACGUAGGGUGCAAGCGUUGUCCGGAAUUAUUGGGCGUAAAGAGCUUGUAGGCGGUUUGUCGCGUCUGCUGUGAAAUCUCAAGGCUCAACCUUGAGCUUGCAGUGGGUACGGGCAGACUAGAGUGUGGUAGGGGAGACUGGAAUUCCUGGUGUAGCGGUGAAAUGCGCAGAUAUCAGGAGGAACACCCGUAGCGAAGGCGGCACUCUGGGCCGAUACUGACACUGAGGAGCGAAAGCGUGGGGAGCGAACAGG
rnacentral:rRNA from 1 species